rnacentral:tRNA from 1 species
GUCGGGAUAGCUCAGUCUG